CUGCUGUGAGGAUAUCUGUGUUGUAGUGAUCGUGGGUCGAUCACAACCAUCGGAUCUUUCUGACGAGAUCAUGGCACUUCUAAGCUU